rnacentral:rRNA from 1 species
CGGCGGGUGAAGCGGGAAUAGCCCAAUCUGAAAAGCUGGUCUGCCCCGGUGCAGGUCCCGCGUUGUAGGUUGAUGAGGCGUCUCCUAGUGCUAGACCUUUCAAUUAAAGUUCCUUGGAACAGGACAUCAGAGAGGGUGAUAAUCCCGUGAUUAAUUGAAUGACAUACCAGUCUAGUGCGCCUAUGGAGCGUCUUCUUAGAGUCGGGAUGUUUGGGAUUGCAUUCCAAAGUGGGUGGUAAACUCCAUCUAAGGCUAAAUACUGGCGAGAGACCGAUAGCGAACAAGUACCGUGAGGGAAAGUUGGAAAGCACUCUGGAGAGAGAGUCAAACAGUACGUGAAAUUGCUAGCAGGGAAACGUUGUAUACCAGUACACGGCAAUCAAUGUUAACGAUCAGUCGAUGUCCGGGUCAGUUGGAGCGUGGUGGUCAACUUUGGAGAUUGUCCCAGGGCAACUCACGCGUUCCAAAUGAGUCGGGUGCCGGUGCACUCGUUGGCAGCCGGGUCAACAUCAGUUAGUGACGUCCGACAAGUCUUUAGACAAGGUAGCAAUGGCGGGUUCGCUCGUCGUUGAACUUAUAGGUCUGAUGUACGAGGAUGUCGCUGACUGAGGAUAGUCGAUUCGUGCGUUUCGGCGCAGGGCGUAUCGGCGGGAUCAAGGUUGCCCGUGGCGUUACUCAGCAUGCUGAUUGACGUUCAUUUUAGCGUAUUUAUACGUUAGUGGCGAUCGUUCCGUUGAUGCAAGCCACCAGCGAAUCUAUGACG